UUUAUUAACCAUGCAUGGCAAACCUAAUCUCACGACAUCCGCGCACCACGAAGGGUCGCUUCAUUUGUCAGCCGUCCCCAUCGAUCCCUUAGGCACGUGUCAAGGCCAACUUCCUUUGGCAUGCAAUGCUCCAGAGUCCCGGCCUAUUGCUGCACUGUGACCGCACUUGCACCCACAUGAUGCACCAUGGGAACGACGUUCCAAGGACAGCCGGAGGGUAUGCCACGCC
rnacentral:lncRNA from 1 species